rnacentral:rRNA from 1 species
AGGUCUUGACAUUGAUCGCAAUUUUCAGAAAUGAGAAGUUCUCCUUCGGGAGACGAGAAAACAGGUGGUGCACGGCU